ensembl:lncRNA
UAAAGUCUCACCAGCAUGACUGUCCAAAUGUAAACUGAACAAGGACCUCAGCGAACACGCCAAACAGCACGGGGAGGAAAGCCCAUCCACAGUGAGGUCAGCCUACAUAAAGAACUACAGGCAACUGAGUAACGCUGGGCACAGCAGAGGCGGUCCGCCCAGGGAAGAGCAUCCCGAUUGGUUGUCCAGUGCCAAAUUGUCAGCCCUGAAAAUACACAUACAAGUAACAUUAUAUGGACCAACAGGCUCUAUCUGGGAAUAUUUUUGUAUAUACGAAGACAUAAAGGCAUGCAAUAACAGAAAAACAAGGCCAUGAAUUUGAAGGAGAGAGAAGGGGCAUAUGAGAAGGUUUAGAGGAAGGAAGGGAAAGGAAACAUGUUGUAAUUAAAAUACAAUCUCAAAAGUAAAAAUAGAGUCCACCUCAUUGGUGUCCCAGGAGAAAGUGACCACAGCUUUUCCAAAAUCCACACUCCUGUUUAAAGAAUGGUUUUAAAAAAAAAAAAAGUCCCAGCCUGUGGGACAAUCAUUCAGGCUACGCACAAAAAACCAGGUUUGGUAAAGACAGCUGUGUCUGUCUGCCACCGUGUCUAUCUGUCCCUGGAGGUACAAACCAGGACACAGGAGCCCAUCAGAGGAAGGAGCAAGAACUCAAAUGGGAGCAGAGGGUCACUCCACCAUCUUCUCAAGUCCAGGAAGCAGGUGGUGCCUCAUGGUGGAGACCAGAGGGGUGUGACGAGAGGUGAGCUCCACCCCAAGCGGAGGCUGCUCAUCAGACUUCCCACCACACAGAAGGGAGGUGGCAGGGUAGCCCUGGGUGUGACGACUGUCCUUCGAAGAUACAGAUCACCUGCAGCCUGUCUCACCUUUCCUGCCCUCCACUAACACAUGCCUUUUCCUGCUUAGGUGCUUCUUUGAGUCAGAGUACAGACCUUUCACAGGUCUCUCCGGGGGCAGUGUUGGCAUCCUCUCUGUUGUGUGUCAUCCAAAUAGACUACAGAGCGUUGGUCUUCCUCAUCUGCUCACUCACCUCAGCUGGGUUGUAUCACCUCCUGCCUGGAUAGUCUACAUAGGGCCUUCCUUUGGCCCCAUAAGUGCCUCCAACCUUGAGGGUACAGGACCCAGGGAGACAGUGACUGCUGGACUUUCCCAGAGACAUCAGCCUGGCACAUUCACAGCCAGAUCUUAUACCAGCUGAGCACCUUCUUCAGAGAAACUGAAUUGUCACCUUGCUACUGUCAAAGGCACAUAGUGAAGAGCUGUGGGCAGAACUGGACUUCAGGAGAAGGGGCAGGCAGAACAGGAAGUCCUGGGUCCUUGUUAUUUCCGGGGCUACUUCCUGCACCAGUGGACCACCAAGACCUUUCCCUGAGCUCGACAAGAACCACUCAGACCUGAAAAACAGAUGGCCCAAGAAGGUGGUGUACCUGGCAGCCAAGUCCACAGGAGAGGGUGUCGCUUUCAGAACCAAGUUUUGAGGCCACCCAGGGAAGCUGAAUAAAUCAGGUUCAUGGACCACCUGCCCAGGGUGGGGGCUCAACCCACAGCGAGCUAAGCCUUCUUCUAUCAGUUAACAAUCAAGAAAAUGCCCCGCCCAUAGACAUACACAAGCCAAUCUGAUGAAGGCAGUGCCUCAAUUGAUGUUCUGUUUUCCCAUGUAUAUCAAGUUGAUGACCAAGAUUAGCCAUAGCAACUGGGAACUAAGGGUAAACACGGUAGUCUGGAGGCACAUUUAAGCAUAACGCCUUAAGACUGACCAAUGGGUCUGGCAGCUCUAGCCUUAAAGUCCAUUGCUUACUGCUUAUACCAAGGGCAUUAAAAAAAAAAAAAAACCAACAAAAAGAGUCAGCCAUGUAACAAAUGUUCCACAAGGAAUGAAACUGACCAGAAAGUCCCUGUCUCCAAAAUCCACAAACUGGUAGACAUAAUUCAGGAAAUAGGAUGAUGGAGGAGGAGCUUGAGCACAGGGUAGGGAGGACGUAAGGAAAGGAGCAUGGACACAAUGGAGGAGGAUGAGGAGGAGAACACAAGCAUAGUGCAGUGGGAGGACUCUGAGGGAGAGAGCAGUGUAGGGUAUUCUGGACACUAGGCUGGAUGCUCGUUAAUGCUGUUCGUUUGUUAGUUUUUUGAGAUAGGAUUAUUAUGUGCAGCCCUGCCUGUCCUGAGACUCACUCUGCUUGCCUCUGCCUCCAGAAUGCUGAGAUUAAAGGUGUGUCCACCAUGCCUGGCAGCCAAUGCUAUUUUAAACAAUAUUAAGUAUACACGAAGCUUCCCCGUGUUGGUAGGUUUGUGACCUACAGUCUAUGCUGCCCAUCACUCUCCAUCUUUCCCACUUAUGUCUUGGCAGGUUAUUUUCAUAUUAACCUUAGGGCACCUUGGCAGGGUUCUGUCUAUCAUCCUGUGUACCCAUUGUAGCAAAGACCACUAAAAUCCCCCCCACUGCUUGUGGAGAGUGCAUGGAUACAGUGUAUCGCUAUGGAGAGUGCAUGGAUACAGUAUAUCACUGCGGGAACUGCUCAGGAUUUAAGCAUCAGAAGAGGGU